rnacentral:rRNA from 1 species
ACGAACGCUGGCGGCGCGCCUAACACAUGCAAGUCGAACGAAGUUUCAUAACGGAAGUUUUCGGAUGGAAGAUAUGAAACUUAGUGGCGGACGGGUGAGUAACACGUGAGCAACCUGCCUUUCAGAGGGGGAUAACGUUUGGAAACGAACGCUAAUACCGCAUAACGUAGUCGAUCGGCAUCGAUUGACUACCAAAGGAGCAAUCCGCUGAAAGAUGGGCUCGCGUCCGAUUAGAUAGUUGGCGGGGUAACGGCCCACCAAGUCGACGAUCGGUAGCCGGACUGAGAGGUUGAUCGGCCACAUUGGGACUGAGACACGGCCCAGACUCCUACGGGAGGCAGCAGUGGGGAAUAUUGCACAAUGGGGGAAACCCUGAUGCAGCGACGCCGCGUGAGGGAAGAAGGUUUUCGGAUUGUAAACCUCUGUCCUUGGUGACGAUAAUGACGGUAGCCAAGGAGGAAGCCACGGCUAAUUACGUGCCAGCAGCCGCGGUAAUACGUAGGUGGCAAGCGUUGUCCGGAAUUACUGGGUGUAAAGGGAGCGUAGGCAGGAAAGCAAGUUGAAUGUUUAAACUAUCGGCUCAACCGAUAAUCGCGUUCAAAACUGUUUUUCUUGAGUGAAGUAGAGGUAGGCGGAAUUCCUAGUGUAGCGGUGAAAUGCGUAGAUAUUAGGAGGAACACCAGUGGCGAAGGCGGCCUACUGGGCUUUAACUGACGCUGAGGCUCGAAAGCGUGGGUAGCAAACAGGAUUAGAUACCCUGGUAGUCCACGCCGUAAACGAUGAUUACUAGGUGUGGGGGGAUCAACCCUUCCGUGCCGCAGCAAACGCAAUAAGUAAUCCACCUGGGGAGUACGACCGCAAGGUUGAAACUCAAAGGAAUUGACGGGGACCCGCACAAGCAGUGGAGUAUGUGGUUUAAUUCGAAGCAACGCGAAGAACCUUACCAGGUCUUGACAUCCAACGAACUCGCUAGAGAUAGCAAGGUGCCCUUCGGGGAGCGUUGAGACAGGUGGUGCAUGGUUGUCGUCAGCUCGUGUCGUGAGAUGUUGGGUUAAGUCCCGCAACGAGCGCAACCCUUACUGAUAGUUGCUACGCAAGAGCACUCUAUCGGGACUGCCGUUGACAAAACGGAGGAAGGUGGGGAUGACGUCAAAUCAUCAUGCCCCUUAUGACCUGGGCUACACACGUACUACAAUGGCUAUUAACAACGGGAAGCGAAGAGGUGACUCGGAGCCAAUCCAAAAAAAUAGUCUCAGUUCGGAUUGCAGGCUGCAACUCGCCUGCAUGAAGCCGGAAUUGCUAGUAAUCGCGGAUCAGCAUGCCGCGGUGAAUACGUUCCCGGGUCUUGUACACACCGCCCGUCACACCAUGAGAGUUGGCAACACCCGAAGUCAGUAGUCUAACCGCAAGGAGGACGCUGCCGAAGGUGGGGUCGAUGAUUGGGGUGA